GACGAGCGCUGGCGGCGUGCCUAAUACAUGCAAGUCGAACGCAGUGGGGACGGGUGAGUAACACGUGGGUAACCUCCCAUCAGAGGGGAUAACACUUGGAAACAGGUGCUAAACCGAUACUGAUGGAUGGACCCGCGGUGCAUUAGCUAGUUGGUGAGGUAACGGCUCACCAAGGCCACGAUGCAUAGCCGACCUGAGGGGGUGAUCUGCCACGCUGGGACUGAGACGCGGCCCCGACUCCUGCGGGAGGCAGCAUUAGGAAAUCUUCGGCAAUGGACGAAAGUCUGACCGAGCAACGCCGCGUGAUUGAAGAGGGUUUUCGGAUCGUAAGACUCUGUUGUUAGAGAAGCGGUAUCUAGCCAGAAAGCCACGGCUGACUACGUGCCGGCGGCCGCGGUAAUAC
rnacentral:rRNA from 1 species